GGAGAUUCUCAAAGGAAUUCUUAUGAAAAGCUUGCUAGAACGGAUGGAUUCUCAAAGGAAUUCUUAUGAACUCUUACAAGGUGCAACGUCAAAUUGUGAAUUUGAAGGGAGUAAAGUGCAUUCUUUUCCAAGAAUAUCGUAUGAAUACUUCCCUACUCGAUCCACUGUUACGUCUUUUGCCACAAUUGACGUGUGUUAGAGGGAUUGUCAAGAGAAUCAACUCAGGUCUGUUAAAAUUUAUCCCUUCCUUCAUUUUGGCCUAAUCUCGUAAUUAAAUGUGUUUGAUAACGAGGCAUAAGUAGAAGUUCAUACUCCCGAAUUUAUAUACAUUAUCCCAGUCUCAUAAGUUACAGUAUUCUCUCUUAUCAAGACUUCAUAUUCAAUUGAGUAUGGUCUUCUUCCAGUCAGUAGAGCGGAGGGUUUACAUAUAUAUAUAUAUAUAUGGUUAUUAAUACAUAUAAUGCAGGAAUUUCUAAGUGAUGUGACAGUGAAAAUGGGCAUUGCUGAAAACAAUAAGUGUAAAUCCUAAGAAACAUGAUUUCUCCUACAUGAAAUGAGUCCUAAGCAUGGAUUUUAUUGUGUAAGCAGGAAUGUAAACCUAGUAAGAUACUUUCUACCCAUUUAAUACUAAAGCAUGAAUAUUUCCCAACCCUUUUCACUAGCCAAACCCGUACUAGUUUACAAAUUAUUACAAAGAAAAUGAUUGAAUUACAAAAGAUAAGAAGUUACUACCAUAGGAAGCCUGAUCUUGACUUCCUCUCUAAGAUAUACAAUAAACCACAUCAAUGACAUUGUUAUUCCAAAGCCUUUAUCAUAUCAAGAUGUGUAAAAGUUUCUUAAGGACCUCAAGGGAUCUCGGGCAAUGCUCAUACCAAGAUUUGCAUAACCAAACAGAAUGAGUGCAAUGUGGAAGGGCCAGCCUUUAUGUGUCCAAGUUCAGAGGGAGCUCAAGGUCCUAAGGCAAGGUUUACACAAGAGGGACGGAACCUAGAUUCUAUGAAUAUAAUCGGUGGGCAUGCCCCUAUUGGGCAACCUCUGAUAAGAUGGUAAGUUAUAUAAGCAUGGCCAGAUAUAAAGCCUAGUAUGGAUGAGCUCAUAUGCGCGAGCCUACUACGGUAGAGCAGUUACACGUUCCGAGCCUUAUAGGGCCAGACAUCUAUUUUAUUUACUUUAUUGAGAGAGUUGAGUCACUACUAGCAAGUAAGUAUAUCUCUAGAUCAUCUUUGACUCCCAGUUACUUUAAGUUAUUAUAUUAUCAAUUCAAUUUCAGCUUUCAGUUAUUUAUUACCUUCAUACUCGGUGCAUUAUUUUGAACUGACGUCUUUUUUUCCGGGGUUGCUGUAUUUCAUGCGUGCAGGUUCAUACAUAUAGUCGAGUAGACCUCCUUAGUAGGUGUUUCCGGAGUUCAGCUUUAUCAGUAACCUCUACGUCCUUCGAAGUUGUCGGGUCUAGAGAUAUGUGUACAUCUUGUAUAUAUAUGUAUAUAGGUUCUGGGUAGGUCGAGGCCCUAUUCUGAUCACACUACAUCCAUCAGUAGAGGCUUGUAGACAUAUCUUAUCAGUUAGUGCAAUAUAUGGGCUUGUAGGCC
rnacentral:lncRNA from 1 species